rnacentral:misc_RNA from 1 species
GAAAUGCGAUAAGUAGUGUGAAUUGCAGAAUUCAGUGAAUCAUCGAAUCUUUGAACGCACAUUGCGCCCCUUGGUAUUCCAUGGGGCAUGCCUGUUCGAGCGUCAUUUGUACCCUCAAGCUCUGCUUGGUGUUGGGUGUUUGUCCUCCUCUACUUUGCAGUUGGACUCGCCUUAAAGUAAUUGGCAGCCAGUGUAUUGGUUUUAAGCGCAGCACAUUUUGCGUCUUGCUCCCACUAACACUAGCAUCCAUGAAGCCAUUUUCUCACUUUUGACCUCGGAUCAGGUAGGGAUACCCGCUGAACUUAAGC